UGGGGAAGUUUUGGACAUGGGCGAAAGCCUGAAUCCAGCCAUUCCGCGUGCGGGAUGAAGGCCCUCGGGUUGUAAACUGCUUUUGGACGGAACGAAAAGCGCCGGGUUAAUACCUCGGCGUCAUGACGGUACCGUCAGAAUAAGCACCGGCUAACUACGUG
rnacentral:rRNA from 1 species